rnacentral:rRNA from 1 species
AUACGGAGGGAGCAAGCGUUAUUCGGAAUCACUGGGCGUAAAGGACGCGUAGGCGGGUUUGUAAGUCAGGUGUGAAAUCCUACAGCUCAACUGUAGAACUGCACUUGAAACUACAGACCUAGAGUAUGGAAGGGGCAGAUGAAAUUAGUGGUGUAGGGGUAAAAUCCGUAGAUAUCACUAGGAAUACCGAAAGCGAAGGCGAUCUGCUGGGACAUUACUGACGCUGAGGCGUGAAAGCGUGGGGAGCAAACAGGAUUAGAAACCCCAGUAGUCC